UGGGGAAUAUUGGACAAUGGGCGAAAGCCUGAUCCAGCAAUGCCGCGUGUGUGAAGAAGGUCUUCGGAUUGUAAAGCACUUUUGACGGGGACGAUGAUGACGGUACCCGUAGAAGAAGCCCCGGCUAACUUCGUGCCAA
rnacentral:rRNA from 1 species